rnacentral:lncRNA from 1 species
UUAAAUAAGUUUUUGAAAUCUUCUUUUACAACAGGAAUUUAUCAAGAAUCAGGCUAACAUAAAAUUACACAUGUACAACACAUUAGUGUUCUAUGAUCUAUCUGUAUCGAUAAUAUCACACACAGUGGCAUUCUAUCGGGCCUCUAACAAUGAGAUUGAAGCUUCGCUUAUUGAAAAAUCUUUAGAUGAAGAUUCUAUGCUAUUUGUUUUAUCCCUUGCAGCAUAGAACCCGGGUUCAUUUGGUUUGGGGAGUAACUUUUCACCCUUUAACAUAAAGACCACAGAUGACAUGUUAGGCCUAUUUUCUGGUAGCUGUUGCACACACAAUAGACCAACAUGAAUAAAUCUUAUUAUUUCUGAACAUAUGGCCUCAUCAUCAUAUAAUACGUCAGCUAUUAACUCCAGUGGUCUUUCUUCAAUCCAUAGUUUCCAUGCCUAAAAUGACAUCAAAGUUACAACAUGAGUAAGCUCAACACUUAUAAUGUGGAUUUUGAUUGAUUGAUUUAUUUUGUGUGUUGGUAAGUGUGGAGUUCAUUUUAAAUUAGUAUCAUCAUAUGAAUUAGUUUUCAUUUUGAGUUUCUUCCCAUGCAGUAGAUUUAUUGAGACCCAAAAAAGGGAUAUAUGGAAAGCAACUAAAAAAUAAAUAGUGUGUCACAAGAUAGAGAAACAUAUACACUUCAAAACUUACAUGACCAAGAAGGUUAAGACGAUGUAGAGGGUCACGAAAUCCAUGAUUCUUUCUACCGCUAAUUAUCUCAAGUAGAACAACUCCAAAGCUGAAAACAUCAGAUUUUAUUGAGAAGGAUCCAUCCGCUGCAUAUUCUGGAGGCAUAUAUCCACUGCAAGAUUUUUUUUUUGCAGUUUUUAGUAUAAGGAGCUGCAAGAUGGCACAGAACUGAAGGUUUAAAUAAGUACCGUAAUUUUUUUAGUAAUUAGUCCCUAAAUAAAAUUCUUAUCGGUAAUAAUGCCUAAAACAUAGAACACAAUACUUGUAAUAUUUGUUGAUAUUGGACAUGGUCUAUGUAUAGUGUCCACUCUAUGGACUAAUACUCCAAUAUGAACAAUUAUUAUCAAAGACUAAAACCAAAAUAAUGAGGAUAAAAAACAAUCUUUCCUGUAUUUUAGGAAUACAAACUGAUACAAAUCUUUAAUAGAAACGAAAACUGAAAUCAAUGUAAGUUAGAUAUUACUAUGAUCCGAUCAAUCUAUUUGUAUUAGCCUCUGCUUCGUCUCCCAUAAAUGAUCUGGCUAAACCAAAGUCUGCUAUCUUUGGGAUCAUAUCAACAUCAAGAAGAAUAUUGCUUGUUUUCAUAUCUCUAUGUAUGAUUCUUAGUGUAGAAUCUUGAUGAAGAUACAACAGCCCUCGAGCAAUUCCAUCAAUAAUUUCCAGACGCUUAAUCCAAUUUAGCAAUUUGCUUCGUAUAGUAUCUAACAAAUUUCACAUUCUUAAGUUAGCAUGGGAACUACAUUAUGACAAGAGUAAACAAAGAAAUUAAUUUCGUUGGUGAGAAAGUUCAAACCAAAAAUAAAGUAAUCCAAGCUUCUGUUGGCCAUGAAUUCAUAGAUCAACAACUUUUCUUCUUGUCGAAUAGAACAACCAAGAAGUUUUACAAGAUUACGGUGUUGAAGCGUUGCCAUCAAGUUUACUUCAUUUUUGAACUCCUCGGUUCCUUGUGCCGAUGUUUUAGAAAGCCUCUUAACAGCAAUCUCUUGGCCGUCAACCAUUACGCCCUAGUAAUAUUUUUGAAAAUUUUAGUACUUAGAGUACAUGGUGAAAUAACUACAUAGAUAAACUAACAUGAUAUCGAAGACUAUACCUUGUACACUGCUCCAAAACCACCUUCUCCCAACUUGUUUCUGAUAGAGAAAUUAUUUGUUGCAUUAGUGAUGGUUGAAAAAUCAAAUAUUGUUGCGAAAUCACCAUAUUCCUUCUCCUUCUUGUGCUUCCAGAGAAAUAACUUUUUUAUAUACCCUGAAGUAACAAUUUAAGUGGUUGAAUGUUAAGAAAGUAAAGGAACACAUCAAUCAAACUUCAGAGUUCAUUGUAAUUUGUAACUAAUUCUGUUUGCAUCACUAUUUGAGUAAGUAUAUCAUAAAUAUUUGAGAUUUACUUGUCAUGAUUUUUUCACUUGGCUUACCAAGCUUCUUUCUAUAUGUUGAUGUGAUCAAAACGAGAACGCUUAGUACUAUAAUGAAUGCAAUAACUCCUGCAAGAGUCCCAGCAAGCUUCAAUUUCCGCUUAUUCUCUUUAUGAUCUGAGGGUUGAAGUUAAUGUCAGUCAACAAGAAGGUAUAGAAGAAAAAAGCAUCUUUAGAGAGCACAACUUCCAUUUGGGAGUUUAUUCAUGAUCAUUUGGAAGUUGAACACAACUUCUUCUUCUUAAAAGUGAAAAGAGAAUUUACUAGUGUCACGUAAUUUCAAGUUUUCAAACAGUGCUUAAUAAUAUCAACACAAAUGGUGAAAUAUUAAAUUUAUGCUAUAUAUCUAACUGAAAAGACAAAAUAUGUAAUAAGAAAUGAAAAUACCAAGUUCUGAAGAUGCCAUCCGUAUGUAAAUGUCUUGUCCUUGGUCUUGAUGUUUUCUCAUGUCCACAAUGUUGUUAAACCAAAGUAUGCAGCCACUCCCACCAUCUUUGAUAUCUGAAUUUGCAUAUGCAGUGCAAGUACAGUUUUUCAAACACAUUGUCUUACAUUCCUCAAGGCUCAAGCUCUUGUUAUAAUACGAUGAUGAUGUAUCUGGCAACUUCAUGUUUGUGUACGGUAAAAAUCCAUCGCCAUGGAGACAAUUUAAACGUGUUUUUCUUAGACAUCCACCAGACCAAUUUGAUGAAUCCCACUCUAGUUGAAAUUUUGGCAUGAAACCUUCUAAGCAUUCACAUAUUGGAAAGAUAUCACCAUUGCAGUUAGAAUUGUUACCACACAAGUCAUAAGCAUCACACUGGUCUGCAGGAAGAGAAUAUAUAGCCUCCCAAAUCUGUGUCCUAUCUGACCAUUGUAAACGUUGUGAAGUUCCAUAUGGAUCUAGCACCAAUCUAGUAUUAAUUGAACUGUUUAAAGUUUCAUAUUGAUAAGAGAAUUCUUUGUCAGUGACCACUACCGAGAAAUUCAAGACUCUAUGCAGUCUUAGCCAAGAAACACCGGUGAAAAGAAAUCCAUUCCAUGACCCUCCUCUAUACAGAACGUUUGCUCCCUUUGCAGUAACUAGUUGAGGAAAACCAUGUGUAUCUAUCUUAUACGAACACUCACCUUCAGCAGGAUCUUGAGGGUUUCUCCAAGAUGUGAGAUAUCUAUAUGGACCAGUAACUAAGUUACUUUUCAGCUUCAUUCCAGCAAGGAAAGUGUUACCAGGAUAAUCAAAACUUUCCCACAAUAAAUCCUCAUUCUUACCGCUGCUGUUUGCAUCUUUCACAACAAGGUUUCCUGAAUCCAACAGCUGCACAAUAACUGAUUUCACCGUCGCUGUGCUUGAUGAAUUGGAGUUCCAGAUGACACCUUUGGAGCCAUCAAGAAUAACAAGACUUCCUUGAUCAUUGACUUUCAGCAUUGCUGUUGAGUUUUGUGUAGGAGUAUUUCUAUUGGCAACCCACACAAUAGUCCUUGGUGAUAUGUUCUUGUACCAUAUACCGAAGUAUUGGCGUUGUGAAUCGCCAAAGUUGAAAAAUCCUGCUUCAUACCUCUCAGCUGCAGAAACAAGAGUAUCACCGUAUUGCAUAAACUGAUUUGGAGCAAUAGUAGUAAAAGUUUUCUGUGUAGAGAAAGUUAGCAUGGAGGAAAAGAAGAAGAAAAACACCAUUAGCAUAAGCCCCUUGUUAUUGUUUUCCAUUCUGUUUGUGAGUGUGAGUAUGUUCUCAUCAUUUUCAUUUUCAUUUUAUCAAAUUACAAUUCAGUUGACACGGCUUAGUCCAAGUCUUCCCAUUUGUUUGACGAUUAAGCAUUAGAACCUUGUAUUUUAAUUUAAGGAAAAUGCUAAUUUAAUAGUGAUACUGAAAAAGAGAUGUAAUGUAACUUAUUUAUUUAGAUAUUCAAUGCUAAUUUCUUUUACCGUUACUUAUAUUUUGGCAUUCCAGAUUUUGUCAUUGUCUUUCAAAGUCUUUGUUUGCCGUCAUCUUCCAUGUCAGAUUUUUUGUUCUCUCUAUCAAAUUCUUCAACUUGCAUUUUCUUUUGUCGAUUCUAUUAUUAUUUGUUUUCUUUUUCCGAUUACUUUUAUUGAUUUUAUUUGUUUAGGAUCCGUUGAGACAAGAUGUAAGUUAAAAGACUUACACCAAAUAUGUGACGUUAGAUCUAAUCAAUCCUACGGUUUGAAAUUAAACAUUUAACAUGAUACAUGUUCACAGGCCACCUUCACAGCAUAAGAAUUUGAAAAGUAACUAUAAUGUAAAAAACUAAAAAUUAUAUAAGGAUUUGGAAUAGGGGAACAAAGUAAUGAACUCAAAUGAAAAUGAUGAGAAACCAUCGAUUUUAAGGAGAAAGAUAUGAUGUUUAGUGGGGCACCAUGGAUGAAAUCGGAGAAAACCAUAAUGAAGCGGAACAUGAACGCGAGAGAAAUAGGGGGAGAUGAAGGUGCAAACUGAUUACCUACAUUAAUAAAAAAUUAAAGAUCAUAGUAAUGAUUAAUCCAAGGGUUGUGAUUUAACCCUCUCACCUCUCAUAAUAAAAACACUCUUAUUUGAUUCGCAACUCAUCGCACCACCGAAAUCAAGGAUUACAUUAUGGGAGGUUGCAAGCGGCGAUUUUGGAAAAGGGAGAAGAGAGGCGGUUUGGCUAGAGAGAGGGCAGAUGAUAAGUUUUUUCUAGAGAGAAGUUGAACACCGAGAGAAAUAUUUUCACCUGCUCUCAAGUUAUAACAAACUAAACUAACAAUGAUUAUCUAUUUCAAUGACAUCAACAACAAUCUUUAUUAUAGAAAAAGUUGUUUAAAGGUAUAAUUGGGAUAAUGAAAAAGUAAGUAUAAAGAUACUCAUCUAGUUUGUUUUUUUUUUUUUUUUUGACAAGUACUCAUCUAGUUUGUUAUACUUUUUAAAUGACAAAGGAAAAAAAAACAUAUAUAUAUAUAUAUAUAUAUAUAUAUAUUCAUAUUACUUUUUUUUUAAUUUUUAAAUAUAUUCUUAUCUAUUUAUCACAAUAGUUAUUUGUAUUGAAAGUUGAAGGCAUUUUUGGAAAGAGAAAAAUCGAGCACAAAAAGCUGAAAGGGGUUAUUUUCUGCUCUUUUUAUUGCGCUAAAGUUUGAAAAUUAUGAACGGUAUUUUUUAUGAAAUUUUAAUUUUGAUUAAAAGUAAAAAUAUAAAUGUUUUUUGCUUUUAAAUUAUAACAAAUCAAACUAACCAUGAUUGUUUAUUUGAAUGAAACCAACAAUAUAAUAAAAAAAUAAAAUCUAAAUUCUUUUUUUUUUUCCUUCAUAAAAAGUAUUUUAAAAUCUCACUGAAUCAAUACAAUUUCACAAAAUCUUUUAAAAUUUUAAAAACUUUUUAUUUAUUAAAAUAUUCUUUUAAAAUUCUAAUAUGAUACACCCUUAAUAUUGUUUGGUCACAAGAAAAUAGCAAGGAUUUAAUGUUUAUUGUGUUAUAGGUAAAUGUGGAAUCCUAACCUUGCAAAAAAUUAAAUAAAAGUUACUAAACAAGGUUGUUAGAUUUUUUUUUUCUCCUAUGAAUCAAACUCUAUUUUUGAAUACAACAAUAUUUAUUUUGGGCUUAGAGUGUCACAUUAUCAAAAUCUGUAGAUCAUUUGAUUUGUUUGACUUUUACAAUAACAAGUAACACAAAUGAAUGGCUGUGAUGUGCUCACAUGUUAAAAUUUUGUACCUUGACCGUGCAUGAAAAUUAAACACUUAAGUACUCCUUCUGUUUCUUUUUAAGUGUUUUUUUAAGGUUAUUUUUUCGUUCCUAUUUAACUGUCUUUUUGGUAUUUUAAGGGUACGAUUUGUCAAUUAUACCCUUUGUCAAUUACUCUUAUCUUUUUCAAUAAAACUAAUUAAUGUUGUCUAUUUGAAAAACUAAUUUUUUUUUUUUUUUUAAAAACAAAGUUUGUUUCUUAUUAUCUUCAAAUUUAAACAAAAUUUUGUUAAAACAAUGGUUGUAAGAAAAGUUAAAAUUCUAUAAAUAAGAUGAGUAGAAAUUGUUAAAAAAUUCAAGUGCAAAGUAAAAGAACAUGUUUGAGAGAAGAAAAAUAAAAGACUCCAUGAACGUUCAAAAGAAAGAAAAAGUGAAAGACUCGUUGAAAUAGUUAAAGAAGGAGCAAUGGUUGAAGACUCAUUUGACAAGAUACACAAACAAGAACAAGAAUAAGAUGACAAUGAAGAAGAAGUUUCAUCAAUAUAAUUUUUAUAUUGACUUAAAAUAAUUAAAAAGAUGUGCAUAGUAUCUAAAAAAUUGAUAAUUGUUUGUAUGAAAGAGAGCGCGCACAAAAAAUAGGAAUUUAUUGGAGAAAAAAAAUAAUAAGUGACAAUUGUUUGUUACGAGAAAAAGAUAACAUAUUAAAUUUAUUAUAAAGAUAAAGUGUGAGAAAAAAAAAGGAAUUUAUUGGUGGAGUAAAUGAGGAUAUAAUAGGAAGAAAAUGUGCAAAAAUACACAUCACUAUUUUUGUAUUAAUUUUCUAAAAAGACACUUUGAAAAGAAAUGGAGCGAAACCAAUAUAAAGUAUUGUAAAUUGCCCGGCAUGCUUCCGCUAUAGGUCGUCCAACUAAUGUAUAAAUUGUUUGUAUUAGGCGGAUUUUUGGCUUCGAAACAUUUUCUUCAUUGAAAAUUAAGGUCGAAACUAUAUUCUUAUUCAACAUUAAGGAUGGACAAGUGGAGACUUUGUAUAUUUAUAUUUCUUUUUAGUGGUGAGUGGAGACUUUGUUUAUAGAUGUAAAGGAUGGACAUGUGAAAUAUAUGUUGUUUAUUCCAAUUGUAUUUGGCGGAUUCUCAAACAAUUUUUUUUCUCAAAAAAUAAAAAUAUAAUUGUAAUUUCAAAAUAUUAUCUUUUAUAUUUUUUAUUAUAAAAGCUUCUAACCAUAAACCUAAUUCUUUCCCUCCAACCACUUGCAAAGUCUUUAUUGUCUCUCAUUGCUUAUAAGAAGAAUUUGUUCUUCCUCAUUGCUUUCUAUUAAGUGACAUUUAAUAACGUGUCAUAACUAGUUUUGACAUAAAUGAAAUUUAUUAGGCUUUUAUAAAAAGAGAUUCAACGACAUACGAAAUUUGAAUUCAAAAUUAACAUUUUCCCUCCCAAAUAUACAAAUUACACAUUCACCCAUUCUUCUAUAAAUUUAGAUCUCUACUUUUGGAAUCUCUCAUUUAUCAACUCACUCUCCUUUGUUGUUCAUCUAUCAUUUCCAUAACGACUAAUCAUAAUAUGGAUACAUUGCUUUCAUAUCAUUCCACCGCCAUAUCAACAUGGUGAGAUUAAUUUUCAGUUUUCCUAUGAGAAAAAGUUGCCUCAAUAUGAUGUUACUUCUGGAUUUUUAGUGAGUUGUUUAAUUCUUAUAGAUAUAACAGAGAAAAUCGCAUAUAUGUCCAAUAUGUCCGAUUUUUAUUGAUCUCAUUUUUUGUUGUUGUUUGUAGCUGUUUGAGUAUCAUGGAUUUUGCGAGUUGACAUUGAACAAACAGACUAUUUCUUUAGUUAUGAUUGACGAUUGUGCCAACAAAUGAGCUUGCAUUCUACUUUUUGGAUACCUUACAAAUGAGCACUUAAAAAUUGGAGGACAGUGGAAGCGUAUAAUUGUUGCUCGAAGAAUUCAUAAGGGCGCGGAAGUUUUUACAAGAAGGAUCAAACCAGAAAUCCUAGGACAUGUUGUGCAAAGUUUUUUCAGAGAAAAAGAGUGUGCAUUCAUCCAAUUCAUAAGUUGCUUUAUGAACAAGACGAGUCCGUAUGUCGUCUUGCGACAGAAAAAAGGUUAUAAACAAAAGAAAACGUAGUAAAUGCAAAAUAAAGGCUACAAAUUUAAAACACAGAAACUUAAAGAAAAGAUAAAUUGCAUUGCAUUAAAAUAAAGGUAGUUCGAUAAAUAAUUUUAGUAUCAUAUUAAUUAGGAGCUUAUAGUUCUCCAUUGUGUUUGUGUAGGUUUUCUCAGCUUACUAUAAUUUUUAGUAUCAUAUUCAUUUUUCAUUUGUCUUACCAAGCUUCUUAAAUUUUUUACUUCUGGCGACAAUCCCUAUCAAUUAUCGACAACAUUGUCUUUUUCAAAUUCAAUUAAGACAAAGGCCUUGUUUGGAUAACCAACUUAUUUGCAGCUUAUAGUGUAAGAACUUACAUAUAAUAUUUUAUAGUUAAAACUCGGUAGCCGGCCCAAAUACCGACUAAUUCGAGAGAUCAGUCUCAUUGUCUACUAGCAGGAAGAGCCAAUUUAAGCGAGAGAAAACUCUGUAUGAACUCACCCAUCACAUGAAGUUUAGGAAGUACAUAAAUAUAUAUAUAUAUAUAUAUAUAUAUUUUUUUUUUGACGGAAAUAUAUAUAUAUAUAUAUAUAUAUAUAUAUAUAUAUAUAUAUAUAUAUAUAUAUAUAUAUAUCCGAUAGAGCCUGUUAUUUUACAAAGUACAUGUAAUAUUAAUAAAAAAAAAUUACAUGUUGUAUUUUGGAUAUCCAAAAACCAAUUCAAAUUAAACCACCACAUAUAUUUGGAUCAAAUAUAAUUUUUUUAUAUUAGCCAUCCAAAUCGAAUCGAACUACAUAUGAUUUUUAUUUUGGAUCGAGUGACUUUUUAUCUAAAAAUCGAUCCAAACCGCACCACAAACACCCCUAAUUCGUUGUCUUUAGAAUAGUCUACUAAGAAAGUUGAAUUUUCAAGUUUCUUCCCUUCUAUAAUACCAUUAUUUUAGUACAUAAACAAAUUUCUAUCAUGAGGAACAAAAUUUAAUUUCAUCGAACUUUAAAUCCGAGUAAUUGAAAAAGUGUAUAAUUGAUAAAUGAAGGAUAAGUGACAAAGAAGUUGUUGGGUCAAUAAAUGAGUUCUUUGCUAAUAUCUGAUUUUUGGAUGUUAAGUGUUUCAUUUAUUUUAGUUUGAAUCUGCGUAUUUAUGUUUAACUUGUGAAGUAAUUUUGUUUAUGUUGUCACAAGUUGUAAAUUGUUCAUAUGGAACGAUGAAAUUGAUGAACAUCCUACAUAUGUUCGUCCAACAACAUCUGAACCCAUAAGUCAAUUGCCUAAUUCUACUAAUGCAUCACAUUUUACUGCUGUGAAACUACUUCUGAUUGAAACCGUGUAUAGCUUGUGAAGGACAUUACUAAAAGAUUGUGGAAUCUAAGAAAAAUGAUAAGUUGGAGAUGAAGCUUAAAAAAUCAAGGAAGAAAAUGGCAAUUUGUUAACGGUGUUGUUGGUAUUGUAUCUUGGCUAAUUUUCUUUGCAUAUUUGAAGAAGUAAUGAAUGUAACCCUUUAAUGGUUUAAUGUAAUGGUUUAUUUCAACCAUUUUAAUGAAUGAAGUUGUUGAAAGACAAUGUAGUAUCUAUUGAUAUUUGUGUUGUUCACAAUCAAUUCAUCAUGACCUAUAUUUUUUGUGUACAAUCAAAUCAUAAGCUGUUAUGACCGUAUGUAUGUAAAGCAAAAGACAUUUGUUAACAAUAACUUCGAAUUGUCUUACAUAGCCACAAUGAAUAGGACAAAACUCCAUAUGAACUUGUCUUAGAGUUACAAAAUACACAACCAUUGCAAUCAUAGAAGUGUCUUGCAUAACCAAAAUGCACAAAAGGCAUACAAAAUUCACUAAGUAAUACAAAAUGCAUAACCAUCCUAAACACAAACUGGAAUCCAUUUAAAGUUCCAAUGGUUUCAAGUUUCUAAAUGCAUAAUCAAAUUCAUUUAAUUAAUCUCUUGAAAAUGUCAUCCCAACUUCUUCGUGCAACCAAGGAUCUUCCAACCUUUGGAUCAUGUAGUUUUGGCUAUGUUGAUGACAGGCUCAUGCUUGGGGGGGGGGGGGGGGGGUUCUCGACUGGAAGGAUCGCUUACUUCAUACCAAAGGACCCCGUUCAAACCAUUUUUAUCCUACAUGCCUCGUGGUUAGGGGGUAGUGAACUGAUCAGAUCACUUGGCCCGCAUGCCCAUUGCUCCCAAAACCAAGUGGGAGAAUCGAGAGGCCCAUGAACCGGAUGCCUAGGCUACGUGGCUACCCUAAUCCUUACCUAAAUAAGAAGGCAUCUAUCCAAACCCUAAUUCAAUCACUGUCUACCCCCUAAAUACUUAAACAUUUGCAGCCAAGUACAUGGCACGUUGCCUACUAUGUUUGACCUAAAGGUCUCAUACGAGAACAAAAACCAACAAAAUGGUCUAGAAAUUUCAUUUUAUUGUUUGGAUAUAUCAUAAUGUAAGAGAACAUAGUUACCAUUCUAUUUGAAAAAGUAGACAAGAUGAAAUGAUUUACUACUCUUUUAUUUUAUUGUUAUUCCAUAUAAAAAACUAUCUAAUUUUCUUGGAAAAAAGGUUUUACCUUUAAAUGUUCGUUCUAUUAUAUUUAAAUUGUGAUAUAUAUACAUGCUCUUGCCGGGGAAGAUAAGAGUCGGUCGGGUAGGUGUGCUGCAACUUCAGCGGUGGUUCAUAGUGGUGGAUACAUCAAGGUUGGGGGUGUACUUGAAAAGCCAAAACAACUCCCAAGUUGGUGAGAUCUUAAUGUGCUUUGGAGAGAAAUACUCACUAAUCUAUAUCAUCUUUGUAGAGAUAGCCCAAAAAAAACUCAUUCAGCUACCCAUACUACGUACUCCUAAUGCAACAAAAUAUUGAUCUUGAAAUGGAAAUGGCAGUGCAACUACUACAAUACCAAUCCCAAUACCUAAUUUGGUUGCUGCAGAAACUGCUCUUAAUGCCCCUUAUAACAAUGUAUUUGCUAUAUCAACAAAAUCUUAUAAUGUUGUCAAUAACAAUCACUACAACAUAAUUGAGAUUUAGUAACAAUUAAAAAAUGUAACUAAAUCAAGAAAAAUGUUACUAAUUAAAUUUAGUAACUUCUGAACAAUUGUUAGGUAAAACCUAUGUUACUAAAGAGUUUUGGUAAUAUUUUAUGUAUUAUUAGUAACAUUCAUAAAGUAUUACUUGUUUAUAUUUUUUUUGUAACACUUUAUAUAUUACUGGUAACACUAAUAAAAUAUGUGACGGUCUUUAAACGGUUCAACGAUUUCAUAAAAUAAAUUAAUUUGAUUAGUUAUAUUCUACAGUUUUCUAAAAACUGUGACACAAUCUUUUAAGUAAACAUAUGGAAUUAGUUCAUCAUAUUCACCAAAUGAUAGGGAUAUGUCACAAAAGGAAGAUAAAAAACGACAGUGAGCAAGUUUAUUAAGCACAUAACUGAUGCGGCUACAAAAAUCCACUGAAUCAUAAAUCACCUAACAAAAACGACACCCAACUGAAUAUGAAAACUUCAAGCAAUGCUCAACAUCUCACAACUUGAAAAUAUGCAAGAUUAAAACUUAAAGGAAUCUAACGAAACAAUCAUUUAAGCAUACCAUUCUUAGAAAAAAAGAGUAAAUAUAUACAAUCACCAUACCUUUCUGAUCUUCAAAAGGUAGAAAUCAAUAAUGUCAUCAAGCAGCACAAUAGAAAUGCAAUCCUUUUCUUUAAUCUCCUUUGUAUUGCGGCGUUGCUUACCGCAAGCAUCUUCAUAAUGCUCUGCCUGCAAGAUUGCAGACAUAUCUCCUUUCUAUUGUGGCAUUAAUGCAUCUGUUGUAAUUGAUGAAUCUGCUAAUCCUGUUGAUGAAUAUGUGGUUACUAAUAAUGUUGUUCCACAAGAUGAUUUUGCUAAUGCUGUUCUGCGUUCUUGAACCUUUUUUUUUUUUUUUGAAGAAGCUAAAUUAGUCUAUUGAAAUUGGCACCGGGGAGAAUAGAACCUUAGACCUUAAGGAGGAGCACACUCUCAGAUCUCAAGUCAAUACCACCAGGCCAACCCAAGUGGGUUUUUCUUGAACCAGUUAAGUUCGACAUCCAAAACUGUUUGGUAAUUAUGACUCUUUUGCUAUGGCAGUAGUACUUAGAGCUUUCAAUUUUAUUUUAUUUUUUCAAAAAAAGACAACAAAGCCAAAGGUUGUGAAGAAAUUGAACCUUAAGAAGGUGAGAGAAGUGAUAGGAUGAGAAAGUCAAACACUAGGCCGCUGGUGUUUAACUAUUUAGAGGGGUGGAAAGUGAAUGAAUUAGGGUUUGGCUAGAGACCUCCUUAUAUAGGGAAGGAUGGGACUUUUCCCAGGCAGCUCAUUAGUUUUUCCUAUAAGUACCGUCUUGUCACUAGGGCGGGAUAUCUGGGAGCUUCCUUGCCCCUCAAUCCUUUCCCUAAGCUGGAAGGAGUUUGGCUCCCCAACCACGAGUCCUAGGCAAUCAGGUCAUGGGCCUCUCAAUUCUCCAACUUGGUUCUGGGAGCGAUGGGCAUGUGGGCCUAUCGACUCAACCAACCGAUUUUUAAGGUAUCAUAAGUCCAAGAGUUGGUGUCACGACGAGUGCACUUUACAACUCUUUAAUCUAUUUUUCCCGUCAACCCAUUUAAUUUGUUGGUACCCCUUUACAUUGGACCGACAACCAGCUCUGAUAUAAGUUGACAAGUAUCAAGCCCUUGAAAAUUCCUCCCUUAAAGCUAGGUCUAAAAGAGAGAACAAAGCCACUCAAAUACUUGAGUGAGCAUCUCAUACUACCAAUAUGAGCCCCUAUCAUAAACCUUCUGAUAGAAAUUAACUUUUACAAAAAGAGAGCAUGUUUGCAGCAUGUGAUGGUUCCAUAUUAACAAUCACAUUCCAAAAGAUAAAAAUAUGAAAUUUCAGAUUCCGAACGAUUCUACAAAUGGACCUCAAGUAUCCUAUAAUUCUGUUACAUUUCAACAAUAAUUGAUUUACAAUACCAGAUAGAAAAUGGCAUAGUAAUUUAAAUAAGUUUUUGAAAUACACUUUAACAACAGGAAUUUAUCAAGAAUCAGUAACAUAAAAUUACACAUGUACAACACAUUAGUGUUCUAUGAUCUAUCUGUAUCUAUAUUUGUCAAAACAAGAAUUUAGUAUCACACACAGUGGCAUUCUAUCGGGCCUCUAAUAAUGAGAUUGAAGCUUCAAUUAUUGAACACUCUUUAGAUGAAGAUUCUAUGCUAUUUUUAUUAUCGCUUGCUGCGUAGAACCCGGGUUCACUUGGUUUCGGAAGUAACUUUUCACCCUUUAACAUAAAAACCACAGAUGACAUGUUAGGCCUAUUUUCUGGUUUCUGUUGUACACACAAUAGACCCACAUGAAUAAAUCUUAGUAUUUCUGUACAUAUGGCGUCAUCAUCAUAUAAUACGUCAGCUAUUAACUCCAGUGGUCUUUCUUCAAUCCAUAGUCUCCAUGCCUAAAAUGACAUCAAAGUUACAACAUGAGUAAGCUCAACACUUAUAAUGUGGAUUUUGAUUGAUUGAUUUAUUGUGUGUUAGUAUGUGUGGAGUUCACUUUAAACUAUCAUCAUCAUAUAAAUUAGUUUUCAUUUUGAAUUCCUUCCCAUGCAGAAGAUUUAUUGAGACCAAAAAAAGGGAUAUAAGAAAAGCAACUAAAAAGGAUACAGUGUGUCACAAGAUAGAGAAACAUAUACACUUCCAAACUUACAUGACCAAGAAGGUUAAGACGGUGUAGUGGGUCGCGAAAUCCAUGAUUCUUUCUACCGCUAAUUAUCUCAAGUAGAACAACUCCAAAACUAUAAACAUCAGAUUUUAUUGAGAAGGAUCCAUCCGCUGCAUAUUCUGGAGGCAUAUAUCCACUGCAAGAAUAAGAAAUUGCUGUUUUUAGUAAAAGGAGCUGCAACAUGGCACAGAACUGAAGGUUUAAAUAAGUACCGUAAUAUGUCCCUAAUUAAAAUUCUUAUCAGUAAUAAUACCUAAAACAUAGAACACAAUGCUUGUAAUAUUUGUUGAUAUUGGACAUAGUCCAUGUAUAGUAUCUACUCUAUGGACUAAUACUCCAAUAUGAACAAUUAUUAUCAAAGUCUAAAACCAAAAUAACGAGGAUAAAAGACAAUCUUUCCUGUAUUUUAGGAAUACAAACUGAUAAAAAUCUUUAAUAGAAACGAAAACUGAAAUAUAUUUCAAAGACGAAAAAGUCAUUUAAGCCUUAAAAUUGAAAUAAAUAUAAGUUAGAUAUUACUAUGAUCCGAUCAAUCUAUUUGUAUUAGCCUCUGCUUCGUCUCCCAUAAAUGAUCUGGCUAAACCAAAAUCUGCUAUCUUUGGAAUCAUAUCAAUAUCAAGAAGAAUAUUGCUUGUUUUCAUAUCUCUAUGUAUGAUUCUUAGUGUAGAAUCUUGAUGAAGAUACAACAGCCCUCGAGCAAUUCCAUCAAUAAUUUCCAGGCGCUUAUUCCAAUUUAGCAAUUUGCUUCGCAUAGUAUCUAACAAAAUUCACAUUCUUAAGUUAGCAUGGGAACUAUAUUAUGACAAAACUAAACUAAGAGAAAUUAAUUUCGUUGGUGAGAAAGUUCAAACCAAAAAUAAAGUAAUCCAAGCUUCUGUUGGCCAUGAAUUCAUAGAUCAACAACUUUUCAUCUUGUUGAAUAGAACAACCAAGAAGUUUAACAAGAUUACGGUGUUGAAGUGUUGCCAUCAAGUUUACUUCAUUUUUGAACUCCUCGGUUCCUUGUGCCGAUGUUUUAGAAAGCCUUUUAACAGCAAUCUCUUGGCCGUCUACCAUUACACCCUGGUAAUAUUUUUUAAAAUUUUAGUACUUAGAGUACAUGGUGAAAUAACUAUAUAGAUAAACUAACAUGAUAUCGAAGACUAUACCUUGUACACUGCUCCAAAACCACCUUCUCCCAACUUGCUUUUGACAGAGAAAUUAUUUGUUGCAAUAGUGAUGGUUGAAAAAUCAAAUAUUGUUGCCAAAUCACAAUAUUCCUUCUCCUUCUUGUGCUUCCAGAGAAAUAACUUUUUUAUAUACCCUGAAGUAACAGUUUAUGUUGUUUAAUGUUAAGAAAGUAACAGAACACAUCUAUCAAACUUUAGAGUUCAUUGUAAUUUGUAACUAAUUCUGUUUGCAGCGCUAUUUGAGUAAGUAAGUCAUACCAUUUUCACUCGGCUUACCAAGCUUCUUUCUAUAUACUGAUGUGAUCAAUACGAGAACGGUUAGUCCUAUAAUGAAUGCAACAACUCCUGCAAGAGUCCCAGCAAGCUUCAAUUUCCGCUUAUUCUUUUUAUGAUCUGAGGGUUGAAAUUAAUGUCAGUCAACAAGAAGGUAUAGGAGUAUACUAAAGAGAAGAAAAAAACAUCGAUAGAGAACAAAACUUCCAUUUGGAAGUUGAACACAACUUUUUCUUAGAAAUAGCUCUGGUAAAUAGUUACUUGAAAGUGAAAUGAGAAUUUACUGGUCCAUAAUAAUAUCAACACAAAUGGUGAAAUAUGUAAAUUUAUGCUAUAUCUAACUGAAAGGACAAAAUAUGUAAUAGCAAAUGAAAAUACCAAGCUCUGAAGAUGCCAGCCGUAUGUAAAUGUCUUGUCCUUGGUCUGGAUGUUUUCUCAUGUCGACAAUGUUGUCAAACCAAAGUAAGCAGCCACUCCCACCAUCUCUGAUAUCUGAAUUUGCAUAUGCAGUGCAAGAACAGUUUUUCAAACACAUUGUCUUACAUUCCUCAAGGCUCAAGCUCCUGUCAUACCAAGAUGUUGACGUGUCUGGCAACUUCAUGUUUGUGUACGGUAAAAAUCCAUCGCCAUGGAGACAAUUUAAACGUGUUUUCCUUAUGCACCCACCAGACCAAUUUGAUGACUCCCACUCUGGUUGAGAUUUUGGCACGAAACCUUCUAAGCAUUCACAUAUUGGAAAGAUAUCACCAUUGCAGUUAGAAUUGUUACCACACAAGUCAUAAGCAUCACACUGGUCUGCAGGAAGAGCAUAUAUAGCCUCCCAAAUCUGUGUCCUAUCUGACCAUUGAAAACGUUGUGAAGUUCCAUAUGGAUCUAGCACCAAUCUAGUAUUAAUUGAACUGUUUAAAGUUUCAUAUUGAUAAGAGAAUUCUUUGUCGGUGACUACUACUGAGAAAUUCAAGACUCUACGCAGUCUUUGCCAAGAAACACCAGUGAAAAGAAAUCCAUUCCAUGACCCUCCUCUAUACAGAACCUUUGCUCCCUUUGCAGUAACCAGUUGAGGAAAACCAUGUGUAUCUAUCUUAUAUGAACACUCACCCUCAGCAGGAUCUUGAGGGUCUUUCCAAGAUGUGAGAUAUCUAUAUGGACCAGUAACUAAGUUACUUUUCAGCUUCAUUCCAGCAAGGAAAGUGUUACCGGGAUAGUCAAAACUUUCCCACAGAAAGUUCUGAGAGUUUGCAUCUUUCAGGACAAGAUUUCCCGAAUCAAAAAGCUGAACAACUGAUUUCACUACAAUUCUUGAUAUAUUGGAGGACCAGAUAAUGCCUUUGGAGCCAUCCACGAUAACAAGACUUCCUUGAUCGUUAAGUUUCAACAUUGCUGUUGAGUUUUGUGUCGGGGUAUUUCUAUUGGCAACCCACACAAUAGUCCUUGGCGAUAUGUUCUUGUACCAUAUACCGAAGUAUUGGCGUUGUGAAUCACCAAAGUUGAAAAAUCCUGCUUCAUACAUUCCAGCUGCAGAAACAAGAGUAUCACCGUAUUGCAUAAAUUGAUUUGGAGCUAUAGUAGUAAAGGUUUUCUGCGUAGAGAAAUUGGGCAUGGAGCAAAAGAAGAAAAAAAACACCAUUAGCAUAAGCCCCUGGUUAUUGUUCUCCAUUCUUUUUGUGUGAGUUUGUUCUCAUCAUUUUCAUUUUAUCAAAUUAUAUUCCCCCGUUUUUUUUUGUUUGUUUGACUAUUAAGCAUUAGAACCUUGUUAUUGUUGUUUUGCGUGUAUUUAAUUUAAGGAAAAUGCUAAUUUAUAUAGAGAUUCAAUGGUGAUAGUGAUACUGAAAAAGAGAUCUAACUUAUUUAUUUUUGUCCUAGUAUCUUAGCAUCCAUUUGAUUUUAUUUUUGUGGGUAAACCCUUUUUUAAAUUACUAUAUGCAUUUAUUAUUUUUUUCCUAAACAUACCCCUAAUUAAUACUACUAUCUUGUCUUGAAAUAUGAAAAGUCAAAUUUAAUACACAUACAAACAGAUACAUUAAUUACACUGACAACAUUUCUUAAGAAAUGUGAAAAGGGAAACGGGUGCCUACAUUAAGGGACCGAGGGAGUAUAAUAUAAGUAAUUGUCAAAGAAUGUUUUUAUAGAAAAAUGUUAACGAGUGCCUCCGAGACACUCUUUAUGGAACAUAAAUAGUAAGUAUUUAUGAAAAUGCAUCAUUUCACAAAAAAAAAGUAUUUAUGAAAAUGCAUGUAAUCAUAAUACCUUAAAAAUUGAAAUAUUUGACUUUUUUAAAGAAUAACUGCUUACUCCGUUCGUCCUACAAUAGAUGAUCUGGUUGAUAAUGUGCACUAUUUGACUUAAACUUUGACUAUAUUUUUUUACUAAUAUACAAAAAUAAAUAAUAUCAUAUAAAAUAUUGUUGGAUUCGUCUCGAUGAAUAUAUUCAAAAUAUUAAGUUUUCAUAAUUUUUCCUAAUAGAGAAUUAAAGAUAUUAAAGAUAAAAAACGUCAUUGGUAUGUGUGACGGAGUCAACUGUAUCAUUUAAUAUGAGACGGAUGGAGUAUUUUAUAUUGUUUAAAGAGUGCUCCGGGACACUCGUUAACAAGACCAUUAUUUUUAAAACAAAGGAUUUAAUUUUUUUUUUUUGAGAGAGGAUUUAAUGUCGUUGUUGUUCAUAUAAUUUUGAAUGAAGUGAAAAUGUGAAUUAUGUUGUGUUAUAGGUCAAUAAGGAAUCCUAACCUUGCAAAAAGAAAAAAUUAAUAUAAACAAGUUUGUUUGACUUUUUCUACUAUGAAUCAAACUCAAUUAUUGAAUAAAACAAUGAUAUUUAUUUGGGCUUAGAGAGUGUCACAUCAUCAAAAUUUGUAGAUCAUUUUAUUUGUUUGACUUUUACAAUAACAAGUAACACAAAUGAAUGGUUGUUGUGAUACCGUGCAUGAAAAUUAAAGGCUUUUUUUUUUUUUUAGUUUGAGGGAAUUUCUAAGGUACUUUCGAAAGUUUUAAUUAGGUUUACAAAAUUUUCAAGUUACUCAUUUAGGUUUUAAAAAGGUCAUUUUAGUUGAUAAAUUUUUUCACCAUCAUCGUUUAAAAAGUUUCAAAUAAGUUCUUUUAGUUUGAAACUUAAAGGACUAACUUAGAAAUUCUGUUAAAACUAAAAGGAUCUAUUUAAAACUUUUGAAACUUAAAAGGACUAAUUUUGAAAUUAUGUCAAACAAAAAGGAUCUAAUUGAAACUUUCGAAACUAAGGGUCUGUUUGGUAAGCCCAUCUAAUGAGCUUAUAGCUUAUAGCUUAUAAGCUCGUUUGACAAAAAAAGCUCUGUUUGGUAACGAUUUUUUACAACGAGCUCAUGGCUGUGUUUGGUAACACAAAAAAGCUAGCUUAUAACUUGUUGGACUAGCUUAUAAGUUUGUUUUGAUAGAAUGAGAUGUGUUUGGUAAAAAACUUUUCUUACUAGCUUCUAACGUUUUUUAAAAAGCUAAUUCAAGUAGCUUUUUAGCUUAUAGCUUUUAGCUUUUUAUACUUUCUUCCAUUUUUUAACCUUUAUUUUUAUUUUAUUUUUUUAAACAAGUGAGCACUAAACCCACGUUAUCAAACUAACUGCCAUUUUUUUCUUCUUCUUUUCGGGUUUGCUGAACAGCCAUGCACUUUCUUUUUUCCUUUUAUAUAUAGAUCCUCUUGCAUUCUAUUAGUUUAUAUACUAUUUAUAAUUUCAAAUAAAACUAUAUAAUUUUCAAAUAAUAAAAAAGAUAUAUUAUAUGAAAGUUCUUUUAAAAAAGAUAUAUUAUAUCAAAGUUAAAAUGUUUAAUUACACAAAAAUCACAAUUUAAUUUAAUACCACAUUUACCAUUUUAAAGAUGAAAAUAAUUAUAAUUUUUACAUUUUAAAGAUGAAAAUAAUUAAAAUAUUUAAAAAUAAAUAUAUUAAGUGAAAUUGUUUAUAAAUAAAUAAAAUAGAUAUGUACUUUUAUGUCAUUUUAUAUUUACCAGCAACUUCAACCACCAACUUUACCAAACACAUUAAUUUUAAUAAGCGAGCUUUUUCAGCUAUAAGCUAUCAGCCAUCAGUUAUAUGCUAGCUUUUCAGCUAUCAGCUAGCUUAUAGCUUAUUUUUACCAAACACACCCUAUAGCUUAUUUUAUGAGCUUAUAAGCUAUUUUUCAGAUACUAUUACAAGUAGCGUUUGAGCUUAUAGCUUAUAGCUUAUCAUGUUUUAUUCCAUUUAUACCCUUACCACUUUAACUAAAAUCCAUGUUUACCCUUAAUAAUUAAUUUUAUUAUAAUUUAAAACAAAACAAAAACGAUGAUACAUCUACAUGUACACACGAUUAAGCUUACAAUGGUUGAAUCUCUACCACGAAACCAUUGUUAUAAGAUACAUACAAUUUUUUUUUCUAUUGUUGUUGUCCUUUUAAUUGUGCAAUGUAAUUUUUAUUUUCAAUUGUGCUACUGCUGGGUAUGUAUGCAUACGUAUUUUUUUUUUUGUUUUAUCCUUCAUUUUUUUUAACAAUUUUUUUUUUCAAUCUUAUGAAUUGAUUAUUUUUUAUUUUAUUCUUAAAAUAAAUUUGUAUACUAUAGUUUUUUUAUUAAUGUAUAAUAACCGGAAACUGAAUCGAAAUAAAUUGAAAAUAAAUUUUUACUGAAAAACAAUAAUUUAAUAAUAUAUAAACAUUUAUUAAAUUUAAAAUAUUUAAAUUAUCAAAUAUCUUAAAUAUUAAUUUAUAGUAGUAUAAAUUUUAUAUGAAUUAAUAAUGUCAUUUUAUGUAAUUUUGUAUUUAUCAGCUAGUUCAACCGCUAUUUUUACCAAACACUUUAAUUAGUUUAUAAGCUAUCAGCUAUCAGCUAUUUUUAUCAAAAAGAGUCUUAAAGAUUAACUUGGGAAUUCUGUCAAACUAAAAGAACCAUUUGACCAAAAUUAAACUAAGUAUAAAGUAUUGUAAAUUGGCCGCCAUGCUUCCGCUAUAGGCCUUCAAGUCCUCCAUCUAAUGUAUCAACUGUUUGUAUUAGGCGGAUUUUUGGCUUCGCCACCAUAAUUUAUUCAACAUUAACAAGUUUCAACUUCAAUUAAGGCAAAGUCUUCCACAUUUGAUUUUUUGAGAAUGAUGUAAGUUGAGGUCCAAACAAACAAGAUGCCAAUGAUGAACAAACUAUAUUCUUGUUCAACAUUAAGGAUGGACCAAUGGAGACUUUGUUUAUAGAUGACAAGGAUGGACAUGUGAAAUAGGUUGUUUAUUCCAAUUGAAGUUGACGGAUUCUCAAACAAUUUUUUUUCUCAAUAAAUAAAAAUAUAAUUGUAAUUUCAUAAUCAUUAUUAUCUUUUAAAGUUUUUUAUUUGUUAGGUCAAGCUAACUAUAAAUCUAAUUUUUUUCACUUCAAACCACUUGCAAAGUCUUUAUUGUCCCUCAUUGCUUUUUAAUCGGACAAACUUGCUCUUCCACAUUGCUUUCUAUUAAGUGACAUUUAACAAUGUGUCAUAAUUAGUUUUGACAUAAAUAAAAUUUAUUAGGAUUUUAUAACAAGAGAUUCAUUGAGAUGUGAAAUUUGAAUUCAAAAUUAACAUUUCCCCUCCCAAAUAUACAAAUUAUACAUCCAUCCCUUCUUAUAUAAAUUCAUAUCUAUGCUUUUGGAAUCUUUCAUCUGUCAACUUACUCUCUUUUGUUGUUCAUCUCUUAAUAAUUAUGAAUAAGUAAUUUGAAUUGCUUAAUUCAAAAUAUCAACAAUCUCUGGCAACGGCGCCAAAAAUUUGAUGGUCGAAUUAGGCAAGUGUACCAAAUCAUUUGCCAAGUAAUAAAGUGAUAAGUGAGUAUAAUAUCCACAUGGAUUGUCGUUUCGUCCAAACAUCUCGCGUUACUUAUUUUAAGGUGACGAUAAAAUAAAGAGAUAAGGGUUAAGAGAUUUGAAAUUUUUAUCUGUUUGCAAUAGAGCAAGUUACAUGUUUUUUGUUGCAGAAAAGUAACAGUGGUUAGAGGAUUCUUCGAAUCCCCCUAUUUAUUUGUUGGAUAUUUAAUUAGCAUACAUGUCGCAUCUAGUUAUUCUAAGUGAACUAUGUAAGUGAUAAGGCCGUGGGACGUUUUUAACCUAGUCGGUCGUCAAGUUACACCUGCUGAUCGCACGUGAUCCUUAUGUGUGGGGCCUUGCUCUCCCAAUUGGUUAUAGGUAUAUCCCUCCGAUGGCUAACUGCACCUGUUGGUCAUAUGGUGAUCUUUACGUGUGUUGUAUUGUUAAUUCAAAGGUAAUUGAAGCGUGGACUUAAAUUGACCUUCAAGUUUUUCAUAAGGCUAUGAAGUGUUAAAGUUCCAUUAUGUUAGCCCAUCCAUGAAUCAUAGGUAUCUCAAUGCACACUCUACCUCUCGGUAGUUCUACAAACAGGAAGCCCUAUGAGCGUGUACCUUACCAAAGGUCGAGGAGAAUUGUUCUAUUAGGUAAAACUUAUUUCCUUCAAGCAACCACUUGUUUCCCUAAUCUCUAACUAGUUACCUUCUAGGUUCAGCAGAUUUUACUCAAUAUUAGUAAUGUCACCUCCUAAGUACUUACUACUAGGGUCAGCUCUCUUUCGGUAUCUUUUGCUAGCUAUUAACUAAUUACAUCCUAGACAGAUACUUAUUAGAAUAAGGACAUAAAUAUCAAAAUAUAAGCAUCCAAAUAGUAAUAACAAUGUUAGGCCUUGUCACAACCUAAGUAUCUAAUAUGGGGUUGCGUCUACUACAUAAAUAAAUCUAGACUAAUAAAACUAAAUAGCAAACAUAAAAUAACUAAAUAAACGGCAUAUAAUUAAAUAAUUAUCCAACAAAAUAAAUAGGAGUUCUUCUUAGAACUCUAACCUGUAACUACUUAAUUACACUUGGUAACUAAAGACAAGAUACAAAAAAGAUAAAAACAUACCCUAGAAAAGAUAGGAGAAGAUAAAACUCCUCAUUGGCUCCUAUAAUCGGCUUCCUCUUGAACUGCUCCAGUAUUGAACGAGAAAUUAUGAAUGAGGAAGACGGUAUUUAUAGGGAAAGUUUCCACCUGACUUGGGCUAGAAGUAUGGGUUUUCCAUGGGCGAAAAAGUUACAAAAAGUGACUUUUUUCGCAAGUCACCAUGCGCCUGGGCGCUUUAGGCUAAGUGAGCCAUGCGCCAGGCGCUUUUCGAAUGUGCAUGGCUCUUUUUCUGGCCAGCUUAAUGCGCCUAGACGCUUUUCCAAAGCGCCCAGGCGUUUCAGUGUAAAUUCAGUGCUUAAUCGCCCGUCUUCUUCGUCCGUUUUAGUGUUUUCUUCAAUGUAAGAUAUCUUGAAACUUGAGAACAAAAUUCCUCCCUCUGUAACGUCUUAUGAGGCCUCUUGAAUCGUCAAUCUUUGUCUUCCCAAGGACCACAUAAAUCUUGGGAUGUCUUGCUUUUCCGAUUUGCAUGAUUUCUUCGUGAAUUACAUCAAGAACAUCCUAAAAUUGCUAUGUUUCGGGAAAACUCUGAUUAUAGACUCAAAUAUAGAAAACAUUACAAAUGUCCUGAAAUUAUAGGAAAUUACUUUAAUACUCCUCUAUUUUGAAGGUGAAAAACACAAGAAGGGGGGGGUUGAAUUGUGUUUUCUUUUUCUCUAAAAAAAAUACUUCUUCUGAUAAAACUUCAGAAGCAGUUUGAUUGCUUCUGAUGAAAUGAUCAGAGUCAGAUUGCAGCGGAAAAGAACAGAGCAGAGAAAAGAAAGACAAAGACACAGGCAGUUAUCCUGGUUCCUUCCACAACACGGAAGUAGUCCAGUCCCCCUUGCACUUCCAAGGAGAUUUCACUAUAAUCACAAGAUUACAACUGCUCAAUACUUUCUAAGUAUGAGACUUCACAAAACUAUGCUCAAGCACACACGCAAGAGUCUUCCAAUGCUCAAGCACUAAGCAAGAGACUUCUAAUGCUCAAGCACGCAGGCGAGAGACUUCUAAUCAAACAAAAAUACAGAGAAUUGAGUUUGAAUUGAACACUUGAUAUACAAUCAGUGGUGUUCACAAUACAAUACAGAAAAGACUCUAGACUUUGAAUUUCUAAGAUGUAUCAAAUCAGUGCAGAAAUUCAGUGUGCUUUGUAGAAUCAAAUUGACAGAGUUUUGGCGCUUUUAAACUUAUGUAUCUCUAUCUUUUAUCUUCAAGUCUUCACUCCUUUAUAUAGAGGCGUGAAAGAGACGUUGAGAUAAUCAGCACGUCUAAAGAGUCGUUUGAAAUCCUUUGAUUAUCCACCAGUGAUCCUUUGCCUGAUUUGGGUGUAGUCCUUUGAAGAAUAAACUUCAAAUUCAUUCCCAUCUUGAGUGUACAAUUCUGCAGGCAUGGCUGUUGUUUUGUCUUGUAGCGUAGACAGAAAACAGAGUAGUGGAGGUAGUGGUUGUACACUUGUACUUUGUCAACUCUAUUAACGAGAGACAAGAGCUCAGUGCUAUCCAUAUAUCCGUUGAUACCUCCCUUUCAAUUCUUCGUUCUUCUUUGAUAAGACUGAAUUGAGAAUCAGCUACUUUGAAUCUUCAGUUUGAUUAAAGGAUCAAAUGUAGCUUCUGGUGAAGAUAUUGCUUCUGAUGAAAACUUUUGCUUCUGAUGACUUUCUGCUUCUGAUGACGUCAUCUCUUCAGGAGCAGUUUAGCUUCAGGAGCAGUUUUCUUCAGAUGCUCAGAAUUUCUUUUUCUUUCCAUUGUUCUUCCAAGACCUAUUGAAAUAACUUGAGUAGCCUUUGGUCCUGUACACUUAAACAAUUAUUAGUAAUAACCAAUUGACAAUUUUUAAUACCUUGUUAUCAUCAAAACUUAAUAAGGUUCAUUGUGAAACACAUUUUGUUCCAACAAUCUCCCCCUUUUUGAUGAUGACAAACAAUAGUAUUUAAAAUGUUCAAUUGUUGUUGAUCUAAUUAAUAAGUUGACUACUGGGACAGAGGUUUGUAAGCUCCCCCUGAGUCUAAUAGAUCUUUAAGGUGAGGUUUGUAAGCUCCCCCUAAGUUCUAUUCUUAUUAAUUAAAUUUCAAUAAAAUACUUAUAAAAUUAAAUCAGAAGUAUUUAAAAGAAAUUUAGAAGUGGUUAUAGUAGGGCUCAGUGCCUUAAAAAAUACUAUACAUUUACUCCCCCUUUUGUCAUCAACAAAAAGAAUAGAAACAAAAGAAAGAGUAUCAGAGCAAGCAGCAUUAAAAACAGUAAAUAUCAUCAGAGUUAAAGCUUGUAAAACAUAUUGAAGGUGAAAAAGCACAAGAUCCAGAAACAAUGAUAAUAUAUAUAAAGAAAGAUUAAGAUACAAAGACACAGCUACUAAGAACAAAAGUAAAAAACAAGCUAGAGUUGGGUGUGCAACUAAGGUUGGGCUUGCUUAUACAACUGUUCUAAGAGAUACUUGAUCUGAUCAUCCUUCUUCUGAAGUAGCUCAUCCUUUUCCCUCAUUCUUCUUUUAUAUCCAGCCUGAAUUCUAGCAGCCCUAGUGAUGUACUCUUCUUCUGGAUAGAAAGGAGUGAUGUCCAGCAGAGGCACAAAAUUCAGCUCUUUCUCCUUAGCUGCUUCAUGCAUAUCAUCCAAAAGCUUCUUCAGCAUAGCAGAGUGAGAUGACACACAUUUAGUUCUAAGCUGAUCCAGCAGCUCAUCAAAGCUCUUCUGUAGAUCCAUCCACUGAUCAUAAUAGUGAAUAGGAGGUACAGGAACUGUUCUGCGAAGAAUCAGUGCCUGAAUCUCAUCACUAAGUCUGAUCAGUUGUUCCUCUAUAUACUCAGACUCCAAGAUAUGGUCAGGGAUGGGUGAAGGUUCAGUUUGAGUUGUAUUUGAUGUGGAAGGUUGGUCAGAGGUUAAGUCUAUUAUAGUGGGUGAAUCUGGUUGUUGUUGUUGUUCUAUUGUUUGGUCAGAAGGUAUAUGUUGGUCAGAAGUUGUUUGGUCAGGAGCAACUUGUUCAGAAGCAGUUUGCUCCUGAACAGUUUGCUCAGGGAUGGUUUGGGUUUCUGUUUGGGUUUCCAAGACAGUCUUUUCAGAAACUGUCUUAGAGGCCUUAGUGGGUGUUGGUUGCAUUUCACCACCUAGAUGUUUUUCUAAGUUGUGAAGGGUUGAGGAUUCUUGGUGUUGGGGGGUUUCUGAAGUAGUUGCAUCUGAAGCUACUUCAGAGGCUUUUUGUGGAGAUUGGUUAUUUGGUGAGUUUGUUUGGGUAGGUUCAGGUUGUUGUAUACUAACAGGUUCUGGAGUAUCUGGAUAUAGUGGAUGAGUAGUAGGCAAAUUGAAUUUCUCACAAAGUUUUAUCCUAUUUUUUGAAAAUUCUAUUUGAGUACUCUCAUAGUCAAGUGUUCCAAAUUCUGUUAGUUUGGUAGGUUUGGUUUUUAGAAGCUUGUCUAUAUGUUGGCUAAAGGGUUGGUCAUCUGAUUCUGUGGAUGAUGAAGAGGGUGAAGAGGGUAGAGAUGGAGACUGAGUAUUAGUUGGAGCUUUAGAUGGAUUACCUGAGGACUGAGCUUCUGGAUGAAUUGCUUCUGGAGCUUUUGAAACUGGUUCUGAUGAAGUUGUUCCUGAAGCUUGCUUAUUCUUCAAGGCUUGAGAAAGCAGAGUUGCUCCAUACUGAACUGUUUCUUGCUCUAACUCAGAAGCUAAAGCAGCAAUGACAGGAGUAGGCACAUACCCCGCAGCCUUGAGAUGCUCAUCCCUUUCUUUUUCAUACAAAAUCUUCAUCCUUUUCUUUUCUGCUAUCUUGGAUGCAGAAACCUCCCUAGCAUACUGCCUCAUUUCUUCAGUCAUUUCGAAACUGGGCAUGACUAUGGGCUCAGAAGUUGCAGUCCUUUUUGCCUUCUUGGGGCUUGAGUCUUCAUCCCAGUUCUCUUCCAGUUCUUUCAACAUUUCUUCCCUUCUUCCUUCAGCUGUCUUCAGAUUUCUUGUUAAAUUAGACCUCUUCCUUUUGAUGGUCUGAAGAGCAGCUUCUCUUUUAUUUUUGGGACUUGAAGGCUUUUCAGAAGCAGCUUGAUCAGAAGCAGCUUGUUCAGAACCAGUUUGUUCAGAAGCAGGUUGUUCUGCUGUUUCUUGAGUACUCCUUGUCCUUUUACUGAUAAGAGGGACAUCAUCCAAAUCCUCCACUUCCUCAAGAAUGGUGGACAUAGCAGAUUUUUCCUUCUUGGCUUUCUUAUGCUUCUGAGCACCCACCUCAGUAGCAUCUUCAGCAAGGUAUUCUUCCUUGGUGAUCUGCUUCUUUUUAGAUUUUCUGCCUUUGGCCACAGGCAGAUCACCACCAUACAUUUCUUCUGGGAUAUCUUUCAGGCUGAUUUUCUUGUUGUAGCUCUUGUAGUAGUCCAAGAUGUAGGCCCUCUGCACAUCCAGGGGAUCUUUCUUGCAGAUGGGGAUGUGAUGAGUGACUAGAUCAGAUAUGACAUCAGAUUCAUGCAUAUCUGUAUCUAGUUUCAUGCAUGUUGAAAUCAGCCUCAUCUUGACUAGAGUUGCCCCAUUGAUUAUUUUUCCUGUGACUGCUCCCAGCUUCUGAUUAUCAUAAAUACCCACGUCUUUCAGGGCACUUAGGAGUCCUCCUUCUUGAAAGAUUAUGGAGAGCAGCCUACCAUAAGGAACGUACUUCCUGUUCUCCAUCUGACUCUUCUUGAGUUCCUUGAUCAUGUAUUUAAACAUAUACUUAGGAACGUUCAUUGUUGUUUCCUGAGAGAUGGUGUGAUGCAGAAAGACUUUGUGACCAAGUGAAGGUUGAUCACUUCCUCCACCUUUGGGAAAAAUGUUUUCAUUUUGGAUCUUCAGCAGCAUUUUCUUUUCCAUGCUUAAGGUGCUGUAAGGCUUAGCAUCCUUUGAUCCGUAGAUAGUGUUGUUUACUAUUUCCUUCCAAGGGCUUGUUCUGGGGUUAGGAAUCUCUUCUCCAUCGUAUGUCCCAGAAGCAUCUCUCCUCAUAGCUUGAGCAAUCACUUGCUCAUUGAUUGUUACAGGAAUCCCCAUGACGUUUGAUCUAAUCUCAGUCCCAGUGAAGGCGAGUAGACUCAUUUCUUCUCUGGUUUUUCCCUCCAAAGUAGGAUCAACCAGAAUCAUCUGAGCUUCUUCCUGUUUAGCAGCAACUUUGUCAAACACUGAAGCUCUUACCCAGAAUUGUCUGACAAGCACUUCAUAAGUAGGACCGUUGAGAAGACUGAAGUAACUCAUUAGCUUCUGCUUCUUGUAGAAUCUUACCAAGUCGCACCCAUGGUGAGUUAGAGAAGUGAAAUCCACAGGAUUUUCCGCUUGAAUGAUUAACUCCCAUUCCUCAAUAGACAUAGUUCUUCCUUUGAUUUCAUAUGCUGGAGUAUCUAUAUCCAUAUUUGAUGAAGAACCACCAGCAGAACUUGAAGAUGCCAUUGAUUUGAAGUAGAUUUAGGGUUCUAAGGUGUUUUGAGAGGAUGAGUGGAUGCGCUUACUUUCGCAGAGGGUUGAGAAGAAAAAAUAGAAAGUGUUUGUUGUGAAGUGAGAAGUGUGUGAAUUGACUUAGUGUUUUUAUUAAAACGUUUGUAAUUCAGAAGGGACAAACAAACACAGCAUUAAUGACAAAUUGGGGGCGCGUGAAAGUAUGUUAAAAAGCGAAUAAAAACAUCAUUGCCCUUUUUGUUAUACUCCAAUACAAAUAGACCACGUCAGAGACUCUUCAGAAAACUACUUUUUGGGUAAUGGGACAGCUGUUACAUAAAGUAACUACCAACGUUCCCACUAACCAAGCUUUUCAGAAGCAAAGAAUAACUCUUCUGAAGUUUUAGUGCUGACGUCAUCUUCAGAAGCACAUUUUCCUCAGAACCUCAGUUAAGAGCUUCUGAUGAACCAAAAUGCUCCUGAAUAAACUUCAGAACCAAACUUCUUAUUCAGAGGCAAGCAAUUUUUCAAUCAGACACAAAAUGCAUGUUCAAAUUUUUUUUAAUAAAAUCAAAUCUUUCAACAGACAAAGGUUUUGUAAAUAUAUCAGCCCAUUGAUGUUCAGUAUCAAUGAAUUGUAUAUCUAAAAUUCCUUUUUGAACAUAGUCUCUGAUAAAAUGGUGUUUGAUUUCAAUAUGCUUGGCUCUUGAAUGUAGAAUUGGAUUCUUUGACAAACAAAUAGCAGCAGUAUUAUCACAAUAAAUGGGAAUACUGUUAGCAUUGAUCUGAUAGUCUUCCAACUGAUGUUUCAUCCAAAGUAGUUGUGUGCAACAACUUGCAGCUGAAAUGUACUCUGCUUCUGCUGUAGACAUAGCAAUAGUUGCUUGUCUUUUGCUUGCCCAGGAUAUCAGAUUCUCUCCCAGGAAUUGACAAUUUUCACUGGUUGAUUUUCUUUCAAUCCUAUCACCAGCAUAAUCAGCAUCACAGAAUCCAAUCAACUUAUAAUCUAGGGAUUUCCUAUACAGGAGUCCAAGAUUAGUUGUUCCUUUCAGAUACCUGAAGAUUCUCUUAACUGCAGUUAAAUGAGAUUCUCUAGGAUCUGAUUGAAAUCUUACACACAGGCAUACACUGAAUAAAAUAUCAGGUCUAGAUGCAGUGAGGUAUAACAGAGAACCAAUCAUACCUCUGUAUAGCUUCUGGUCUACUACUGUUCCAGUAUCUUCUUUGCUUAAGGUGCAGGUUGGAUGCAUUGGAGUGUUCAUCACUUUACAAUCUUCUAGCUUGAACUUCUUCAGAAGCUCCUUUGUAUAUUUUGUUUGAUGAACAUAUACUCCUUCUUUACUUUGGUUGAUUUGAAUUCCCAGAAAGAAUUUCAAUUCUCCCAUCAUACUCAUUUCAAAUUCAUCCUGCAUUAACUUAGAAAAUUCUAUGCAAAGAGAUGCAUUAGUAGAACCAAAUAUUAUAUCAUCAACAUAUAUUUGCACAAUCAAAAUAUCUUUCUUAAGAGUCCUUCUGAAGAGUGUUGUGUCAACUUGUCCUCUUUCAAAAUCAUUUUUAAUUAAGAAAUUACUUAGUCUAUCAUACCAAGCUCUGGGAGCUUGUUUCAAGCCAUAUAGUGAUUUCUUAAGUUUAUAAACAUGGUCAGGAUGCUUAAGAUCCUCAAACCCAAGAGGUUGUUUAACAUACACUUCUUCUUCAAUGACACCAUUAAGAAAGGCACUUUUGACAUCCAUUUGAUAUAAUAUUAUGCCAUGAUUAAUUGCGUAGGAUAGAAGUAAGCUGAUUGCUUCCAAUCUUGCAACUGGAGCAAAUGUUUCAGUGUAAUCAAUGCCUUCUUGUUGACUGUAGCCUUGAGCAACAAGUCUGGCUUUGUUUCUGAUUACUUCUCCUUGUUCAUUCAGCUUGUUUCUGAAUACCCAUUUUGUUCCAAUAAUGUUCUUCUGAAAAGGUUUGGGUACCAGAUCCCACACAUCAUUCCUUUGGAAUUGAUUUAGCUCUUCUUGCAUAGCUAAUAUCCAUCCAUCAUCUGUGAGAGCUUCUUCAACAGUUUUAGGCUCAAUUACUGAAAGCAGUCCUAUUAAUGACUCUUCUUGUCUAAAAUGUGAUCUUGUUCUUCUAGGACUAUCUUUGCUUCCAAUGAUUAGCUCCUCAGGAUGUGAAGAUUUGUGCUUGAAUUUAGGUUGAAUAACCUGCUGAGUGUUAUCUUGAAAGUCCUCAGAAGCAAAAACAUGAGAAUUUAUCAAUCACAAUAUGUAAAAAUGCAUCAAGAACAUAUAUGGAAUUUUAAUGAGCAAAAAUUAAAGAACGAAGUAAAGGAAAUAAAUGCAAAAAUAAGCAAAUAAAUUCUAAUACUUAGAGGAAAAAUUAAAAUGAUAGGGAAAUAUUUUUAGAAAUAUUUUUUAGAAGCAUAAAACACCAAGAAAGUGUAAAAAAGGUAUUUAAAAAACAAUUAAAAAGCAAUAAAAAAAAACUCAGCAGGAUUUAAUCUGGACCGUUGGAUGAAUCCAGGGGUCCAGAUCAAGCUCUCAAGAUCACAUCACAGCCAUUUGAUCAAAGAUCAAAGGGUCCAGAAAAAAGCAUAAAAGAUAGUGUAAAAAUGCAGAAAACACAGUGACCGUUAGAUCAAAGAUCUAACGGUUCAAACAGAGGACACACCAAAUUUCACGCAGGAGAAAAUACAUACAAUUCAGAAUCACAACACGUUGUAGCCGUUAGAUCAAGGAAAGAUCCAGAUCGAAUGGCUGUUAACGCGAUGAAGUGCUGAAUUAAUGUACACGCGCGCACAUAGGAACGGACAAAAAAGGAAGCAUUAUAAAAGGAGUUUUCCACAAAAAAACAACAUAACACAUAACCGCUUCUCUCUCUAAGGUCUCCUAGAGAGAGAAGCUCUGAACUAAGCUUCGUCUUCUCCGGUUUGGCAGUGGUUUUCCGGCGCGGUGGCCGGUGGUGGCGCCGCCGCGCCGGAGUUUUAAAACUCCUCUGUUUCAAAAUUUUUUUACGUUUUCUUACAUCCUUUUUCUUCUACUUCUCGAAUCCGAGCUUAGUUUUUUCAAAAAAAGUUUCAAUCGGAGUAGAUCUGAGUUUGAACUUUUGUGGAAAACUUUUAAAAGAAAAAAAAAGAAGAAAAAGGAAGAGGAAAGUGAAGAGGAUUACCUUUCCUCUGUGCUUUGCGAUUCUGGCUUUGCUAUUCUGGUUUUGCGGUUCUUCACGUUUUGCGUUUCCGGCUUUGUGUUUCUGGCUUUCCGGUUCUAGCUUCGCGUUUCCGGCCUUGCGUUUCUGGCUUUCCGGUUCUAGCUUUCUUCUUCUUUCUUCUUCUCUGUGUUUUGCGAUUCGGUUCUGGCUUUGCGUUUCCUCACGUUUUGCGUUUCCUCUGUGAUCGGUGCUGGAGUUUCUCGCCUCCGGUGAGAAAUUCGUACCUUGAAUUGCAGGGGAAUCAAUUCAAUGAUGAAGAUUCAUCAGUGAAUCUCUGAGAAUUGGUGAAUUUGUUGCUGAAUCUGGUUCUGGAAACAGUUAGGGUUUUUUCUUUGUUCUUGAGACUUUUUCUGUUUUGAUCUGUAACUGAAUGGAAAGAGAAAAAAAAUCUGUUGGUGGUGAUUUCAAUGAUUGUGUAUCUGAUCCUGAGAAUCUGACACUGUGUUGUUUUUAUAGCUGACAUGUGUGAGUGAUUGGACCAUUAGAAAGCUGACAUGUGGCAUUGGACUGAGAAAGGGGCGCUGCCCUGUAAUUUUGACUUGAGGGACCUGUUUGCAAUUUUAAAAAAAAUAGGGACUGGACUGAAAGAAUAAAAGCAAGGACUGAAAUGAAAUUAAAAAACUUUUGGACAAAAAAUGCAAUUUUGGAACCUCAAUUGAGGGACCAAAAUGCAAUUAAAAUAAAAUUGAAUAAAAAACGCAAUUUGACCAAACGUAAAGCGAAACAAAAGUAAAAAUGACAAAACGGACUAAAACGAACCAAUGGCCUAAAUGAGGUACUUCAAAAAAACCUCUCUACGCCAAAAUUUUGUGUGAAAUGACCAAAAUGCCCCUAGGGCUAAAAUUGACCUAAACAGAUUCAAAUGGACUUGACACUGACUCAGAUGCAAGUUUGAAAUGAGUUUAACAAGGCUUACUGAUGAAAUGUAAAAAAAACAAUCUGAAAAGACUCAGAGACAGUCACAAGGAUGAAAAUGGGUCCCACUGCAGGAAAUGACCAAAAUACCCUUCUGCAUGACUUUUUUGUAAAUUUUGAAAUAAACUGUAGAAAAAGCAAUGUAAUGAUUCAGAGACACUUUUGAAUGACUUACAAGACAAGUAAAGACAUUUCGAAAGGUUUUAUGCAAGAAAAACAUAGGUAAAAUUGUGAUUGAAAAUACUGCGAGGCAGAGACAAUUUGAACUGUGCAGUUGAAAUUUGAUAAUUGACAAAGUUUGAAAUGAAAUUGGGCCCAGUAUUUUUAGGUCCAAAAACAGGGUAUAACACUACCUCUCUUGCUCAAAGAUUUCUUCUGCUUCCUUGCCAGAUACUCAAGCUUGUUGGACAGCAUAGCCAUCUUUACAGAUUGAUCUUCAUCAGAAUCUCCAUCAGGUGAUUCUUCUUCAGAUUCACUGGCUUUGUAGGCUUUGGAAGACUUUGAGGUCUUUCCUUUAGAUGGUAAAGCAACGGAUUUACUCUUCUUAGAGGUUUCAUGCUCAUUUAGACUCAUUUCAUGCACUUUGAGUGAGCUAACAAGAUCUUCAACACUUAGAGUAUUUAGAUCCUUAGCUUCCUCAAUAGCAGUUACUUUGGGUCUCCAUCUUGAAGGUAAGCUUCUCAAAAUCUUACUAACAUGAUCAGAAGAAACAUAGCUUUUCUUCAGUAUUUGCAAUCCAGAAACUAAAGUUUGAAAUCUUGAGUACAUUUCUUCUAUACUCUCAUCAUCCUUCAUUCUGAAAAGUUCAUACUGAUGAACUAGCAUCAAAGCUUUAGCCUCUUUUACUUUCUUGCUGCCUUCAAAGUUUGCACAUAGAGAAGCAAACAUAGCUUUCACAGUAGAUUUGUCACUCAUUUUCAUGUAUUCGGUGCGAGGUAUAGAAGCCACAAUGAUUCCUCUUAUCUUGUGGUGUUUCUUAUAAAGCUUCUUCUGAGCAGGAGUAUGUAUUCUUCUGUCUAUAGCAGCUCCUUCUUCAUCCAAAUCCAGAUCAUCAACUCCAUCUUCCAGUAUAUCCCAUAGCUCUUCAUCCAAUCCCAUAAUAAAGCUGUACAUAUUAGUUUUCCACCAUGAAAACUCUUCUGGAUCUCCAUUAAACUUUGGAGCUUUUCCAGAGUCUGUUUUCUUGUCAGCAGUAUCAUAGUCAUGCUUGACACUUGUGUAUUUUGUAGUAACUGAUUCCUCAUCUCCAGACAUGUUUUUCUAAUAGAUCUUGAACUGUAACACGGUUAAGUGCUGUGAUAACAGAGCAAGCUCUGAUACCAAUUGAAGGUGAAAAACACAAGAAGGGGGGGGGGGGUUGAAUUGUGUUUUCUUUUUCUCUAAAAAAAAUACUUCUUCUGAUAAAACUUCAGAAGCAGUUUGAUUGCUUCUGAUGAAAUGAUCAGAGUCAGAUUGCAGCGGAAAAGAACAGAGCAGAGAAAAGAAAGACAAAGACACAGGCAGUUAUCCUGGUUCCUUCCACAACACGGAAGUAGUCCAGUCCCCCUUGCACUUCCAAGGAGAUUUCACUAUAAUCACAAGAUUACAACUGCUCAAUACUUUCUAAGUAUGAGACUUCACAAAACUAUGCUCAAGCACACACGCAAGAGUCUUCCAAUGCUCAAGCACUAAGCAAGAGACUUCUAAUGCUCAAGCACGCAGGCGAGAGACUUCUAAUCAAACAAAAAUACAGAGAAUUGAGUUUGAAUUGAACACUUGAUAUACAAUCAGUGGUGUUCACAAUACAAUACAGAAAAGACUCUAGACUUUGAAUUUCUAAGAUGUAUCAAAUCAGUGCAGAAAUUCAGUGUGCUUUGUAGAAUCAAAUUGACAGAGUUUUGGCGCUUUUAAACUUAUGUAUCUCUAUCUUUUAUCUUCAAGUCUUCACUCCUUUAUAUAGAGGCGUGAAAGAGACGUUGAGAUAAUCAGCACGUCUAAAGAGUCGUUUGAAAUCCUUUGAUUAUCCACCAGUGAUCCUUUGCCUGAUUUGGGUGUAGUCCUUUGAAGAAUAAACUUCAAAUUCAUUCCCAUCUUGAGUGUACAAUUCUGCAGGCAUGGCUGUUGUUUUGUCUUGUAGCGUAGACAGAAAACAGAGUAGUGGAGGUAGUGGUUGUACACUUGUACUUUGUCAACUCUAUUAACGAGAGACAAGAGCUCAGUGCUAUCCAUAUAUCCGUUGAUACCUCCCUUUCAAUUCUUCGUUCUUCUUUGAUAAGACUGAAUUGAGAAUCAGCUACUUUGAAUCUUCAGUUUGAUUAAAGGAUCAAAUGUAGCUUCUGGUGAAGAUAUUACUUCUGAUGAAAACUUUUGCUUCUGAUGACUUUCUGCUUCUGAUGACGUCAUCUCUUCAGGAGCAGUUUAGCUUCAGGAGCAGUUUUCUUCAGAUGCUCAGAAUUUCUUUUUCUUUCCAUUGUUCUUCCAAGACCUAUUGAAAUAACUUGAGUAGCCUUUGGUCCUGUACACUUGAACAAUUAUUAGUAAUAACCAAUUGACAAUUUUUAAUACCUUGUUAUCAUCAAAACUUAAUAAGGUUCAUUGUGAAACACAUAUUGUUCCAACAUAUUUUGCUGGUAAAACCUAUUGAAAAUGACUGAAAAACAUGCUAAUGCUAAGAAUAACGUAAGAUGACCUGUAAUCGCAACCCCAAACUUAUACCAUUGCUUGUCCUCAAGUAACGAAAGAAAAAACAUAAGUUAUUCUUUGCAUUGCUUUUAGGAAAAACAUACCUUUCCAAAAAUUGUGCUCAUGACGUCUUUCAUUACAUCUACAUCAGAGAAGCAACUAACUUACCACAUUACAUUCAAGUGCGAAUGGCUAGGAGAAAGUACUGUAUUCUUAGCCACACUAUUUUCGUGGACCCUGUAGAUUCAUGGAGAUCAUGCCACAUGGGUAAUUCCAAGAGGAGGAGCCGGAUGGGGCCCAUCUCUGAUUUCCUGGUGGUACAGGAAGGAUUAGGGUUUUUCCCUGGAAGUUCAUUAGUUUUUCUUAUAAUUGAGGGAGGUGACUUGCUCCUCAAGUAUCGUCUUGUCAUUAGGGAGGGAUAUUUGGGAGCUUCCUAACCCCUAAAUCCUCGCCCUAGGAUGGAAGGUGUUUGGCUUCCUAGCCAUGUGGCUAGGCGUUCAGGUCUUGGGUCUCUCGAUUCUCCCACUUGUUAUGGGAGCGAUAGGCAUGUGGGCCGAUUGACUCAACCAGCCCAAAUUUAAAAUAUACAUAGUAUAAGAGUUGAUGUCACGACGAGUGCACUCUACAACUCUUUACUCUACCUUUCCUGUCAACCACUUCGUUGGUAUCUCUUUUCAUGGGAUCGACAACAUGCUCUGAUAUAAAUUGAUAAGUAUCAAACACUCGGAAAAUCCUCCCUUAAAUCUAGGUUUAAAAGAGAGAACCAUGCUACUGAAAUACUUGACUUACAAUACCAGAUUAUACUACCAAUAUGAGACUUGAGACACCACAAUAUAUUCGAUCCCCUAUCAUAAAUGUUGCGAAUUCGUUGAAAAUCACACCAAUAACAACUUGAUGUGUGGAGCAAGGGAUAGUCAAGCAACCAAAAUCAAAGUGUAAGAAAGUUAUAAAUACAAGCCAAAAGUAGAAAACAACGGCGAGAAGAACACAAAGAAGAGAAGAACACAAAAGAAUUUGUUGACCCAGUUCGGUCCAAAUUGACCUAGUCUGCGGGAGAGAGCAGCCCUCCGAUCCACUAUAUGAUGAGUAUCGUUACAAAGAGAAAUCAAUGGGUUACAAGAAUAAGUCUCCCGCCUAAUUCUACCCAAAGUCCCAGCCUCUUCCCGUAACCAAGAGACUCAAUCCUAAUAGUGUUUCCCAAGGUAAAUCAACCCACAAACCCGAGUGUUUGUUCCGAAGAGACAAACCCUAGUUUUGUUGUUGCCUUUCUAAACCCUUGUUUCAGCCCCCUCUAUCUCCAAGUUUGCUCUGAUACAAGGUCUAUAUUUAUAGUAAAAGUUUCGCUUAAAAUUUGAAACAAAUCUGCACUCAAAAAUAUGUUUCUGUUUUUCGCUGCCAGCGCACCAUCGUGCCACGAUGCGAUCCCAUUGUGCCACGAUUUUUCCAGUACCUUGCCUCAAAACUGAAACCACCAAUCGUGCCAUGUUGCCCAGCAAUCUUGCCACGAUUCCUCCAGAUCUUGAUUUUAAGUUAACUCUCACAAUAAACCUUCUGAUAACAAUUAACUUUUACAAAAAGAGAGCAUGUUUGCAGCAUGUAAUGGUUCAAUUUGGAUUAAGCAAGUAUUCUUUAAUUCUGUUAAAUUACAACAAUAAUUGAUUUACAAUACCAGAUUUAAAUGGCAUCUUCUUUUAAAUAAGUAUUUGAAAUCUGCUUUUACAACAGGAAUUUAUCAAGAAUCAGACUAAUAAAAUUACACAUGUACAACACAUUAGUGUUCUAUGAUCUAUCUAUAUCUAUAUUUGUCAAAACCAAAAUUUAAUAUCACACACAGUGGCAUUCUAUCGGGCCUCUAACAAUGAGAUUGAAGCUUCGUUUAUUGAACACUCUUUAGAUGAACAUUCCAUGCUAUUUGUAUUAUCCCUUGCAGCGUAGAACCCGGGUUCAUUUGGUUUCGGGAGUAACUUUUCACCCUUUAACAUAAAGACCACAGAUGACAUAUUAGGCCUAUCUUCUGGUAGCUGCUGUACGCACAAUAGACCAACAUGAAUAAAUCUUAUUAUUUCUGAACAUAUGGCCUCAUCAUCAUAUAAUAUGUCUGCUAUUAACUCCAGUGGUCUUUCUUCAAUCC